UGCUCCUGCUGCUCCUGCUGCUGCUGCUGCUGCACUGUGUACUGAAGAAGGCUUCACUUCAACUGUACAACUGCAGACAGUAACAGGUCAAAGACCAGCCUACGACGUGCAGCAGCGGCUGCUCCGUUCUCUGUGGUAUGAAGACCAUCAACAUCAUUCCAGUGGAUAAGAUGUGAAACACGGAGUUCCUCUUAUGACUGCUGCAUCACCACUGCAGGUACUAAUUGACAGCUCAUCUUACUAGGUCAAAGAAGUGAAGUAUUAGACCAGACCACGGCAAACGACUGUGGGACACAUACGGCCUGCUGGCCUAUCCAGUCCGGCUAUAGUUCAGAUACUGUAUCGUGGAUUCGGAUCACUUGAGGAUCCUAUUCAGAACUGGUUGUCUCUGAUUCCUAAGCCUCCCAAUGUUCUGAGCUACAGAGCCAGGCUGGGGGCCUGGAGUGUGUGCUUUAGAGAGAGAGAAACAGACAGUGUUGGAGAAUGACCUUGUUGUGAGUGUCCUGGAGGAGCUGGACGAUGUUCGACUGAUGAUGGAGAGGCUCCUACCUCAUUUCUUCACUGGAGUCCAGAUAAGUUGGACACAUUUAAAGUUUAACAUUAGAGUAAAAUUUCCAUUCUUUUUUUUAUUGAACAAUCAUAAAAAUUAUACAUAUAAAACAGAGCUAAACAAUACAUAAUAGUAAUGAAUAAUAAUAGUUAAUAAUACUAAUUAGAAUAUAUAUCGAAAGAGUGAUGAGGAUGUGACUCCUGUGGGGUUCGACUGUGAGUCUCUGGUUCUGGUGCUAAAAAUAAGAUACAUUUGCAUCACAUAAUUUUUCUGCAAACAUAUGAUCAUUUAAAAAAUAAAAACUCAGCGAAGUAGGUGUUGGAAUUAGGUCACUAAGGUCAUAUGUGAGAAUAAAAGAAAAAAAAAACAAAUUUCAGCAACAUAAGUUUCAUCCUAAAUAUGUAAGAACAACAACCUUUUGGAUCCCUGCCGUGGAUCACACAGAGUACCUGGCACUGCUAGUGUUAUUUGGAGUACAUCUGAAGCUGUAGUCUUCAAAUGUACUUGUUUUUCUCCCUUGUCAAACACAAUCACCUGCGACAUAUCAGGACACACAGAUUCUCUGAAACUCCUGGCGAAUGAAUCAAAGCAGCUCUGUCCAGAAAAGGCAUUUCUCUGUGAUGUGUUUGGACAGACCAUUACACAGGCUAACAGACGCUGAUAGCAGCUGAUGCUAAGUUUACACACAGUGUUCAGCAGCGUGUCUGACAGCAGCAGGUCAACAUUAGAGCAGGUUGGGUUUUUUUAGCUCCAUCUCUCCAUCUGAUCAAACUCCACCAGGUUUCUGGCCCAGUGUAAUAAAUUCCUCCUGACAGCCUCCACUGACGGUCUGUAAACAGGGUCUGUGAGCCCCGUCUCACCGCGUUAUCUUCACCACCACCAGCUGAUAACAGACCAAAGUCUUCAAAGUCAGGACACGAGAUCCACAACUAUUUAAUCAGGAGCUUUUCUCUGGGCCUCUGGUGAUACGCUCUGAAGACACACAUUCGAGUGUUUGUGUGUGGUUUUGGGGGGGGGGGCUCAUGUUUGUUUAGGCUGCCUGUCUGUUUCACUGGCCCUGGCUCAGAACCAUAGGGGUAUAAUUCUGUGGUGAGACCACCAACCUUCUAGGUUUCUCCGUCUCAGACCCUGGGGUCUUGACAUAUCGUCCAGAUUUAAGAAUGUUGACGAAGGUCAUUUUUCAUCACCUACUUUGGAGACCACUGCUGUUACACCCACCUGUGGGGUCUAAGGAUGACCCCCUUUGUUUCUUUGGUCAGAAUGACCUCAAGGACAACACAAGGGUGAAGCUCUUUGUGGCUCAGAUGGUUUUUUUUUUUGACAGUAUAAAUUAAGAGGAAAAGUCUUCUUUUUCCAUAGAGCUUCGUUAAAGUUGUCUUCUUCCUGCCAUCAGUAGCGUCACUCCCUGGUGGCCAACUACUGCUCCUGUCCUACUUUCAUGCUUCCCUUUUUAAACCAUGGACUUUCUUCAUGUUACAUGCAGCCCAUCUCUGCUCCAUUGAUUUCCACAGCUGUGAUAAUCAAACCUCCGUCCUCCAUCAGUCAAGUGGAGAUUCUAAAAAUGAUCUUUUUUUCCUAAUCCCACAGAAACAGAAGAUGUUGGAGCAUCACUCAAUUUUAUUUAUUCCUUGGAUCCUGAAUUCCACGACAGGGAGAAGAGGAAAAGGGAAAAGGUCCAGGAUGAUUACAGACUACAGUCUUCACUGCAUGAAUGGCAUCAGGAGUGAAGACGGUGGAAUGAACCAACCAGUCAAGUCGAAGGACUCAACUGGACAUGAAGACAAAACAAAGCUGAUGACCAACAACAUCAAUGGCAUCAAGAUAAAC